rnacentral:rRNA from 1 species
GACGAACGCUGGCGGCGUGCCUAAUACAUGCAAGUAGAACGCUGAAGGAGGAGCUUGCUUCUCUGGAUGAGUUGCGAACGGGUGAGUAACGCGUAGGUAACCUGCCUGGUAGCGGGGGAUAACUAUUGGAAACGAUAGCUAAUACCGCAUAAGAGUAGAUGUUGCAUGACAUUUGCUUAAAAGGUGCAAUUGCAUCACUACCAGAUGGACCUGCGUUGUAUUAGCUAGUUGGUGGGGUAACGGCUCACCAAGGCGACGAUACAUAGCCGACCUGAGAGGGGGAUCGGCCACACUGGGACUGAGACACGGCCCAGACUCCUACGGGAGGCAGCAGUAGGGAAUCUUCGGCAAUGGACGGAAGUCUGACCGAGCAACGCCGCGUGAGUGAAGAAGGUUGUCGGAUCGUAAAGCUCUGUUGUAAGAGAAGAACGAGUGUGAGAGUGGAAAGUUCACACUGUGACGGUAUCUUACCAGAAAGGGACGGCUAACUACGUG